rnacentral:rRNA from 1 species
UGGGGAAUAUUGGACAAUGGGGGCAACCCUGAUCCAGCCAUGCCGCGUGAGUGAUGAAGGGCCUUCAGGGUUGUAAAGUCUCGUUUUGGCGGGGACGAUGAUGACGGUACCCGCAGAAUAAGCCCCGGCUAACUUCGUGCCAGCAGCCGCGGUAAGACGAAGGGGGCUAGCGUUGUUCGGAAUUACUGGGCGUAAAGCGAGUGUAGGCGGUUGCCGUAGUCAGGUGUGAAAGCCUUGAGCUCAACUCAAGAAAUGCACUUGAUACUGGGUGACUAGAGGACCGGAGAGGAUAGUGGAAUUCCCAGUGUAGUGGUGAAAUACGUAGAGAUUGGGAAGAAACACCAGUGGCGAAGGCGGCUAUCUGGACGGUUACUGACGCUAAGACUCGAAAGCGUGGGGAGCAAAACAGGAUUAGAUACCCUGGUAGUACCACGCCGUAAACGAUGGGUGCUAGACGUUGGCGAGCUUGCUCGUCAGUGUCGCAGCUAAACGCG